CUCUGUGACUCCUACGGGAGGCAGCAGUGGGGAAUAUUGUACAAUGGGGGAAACCCUGAUGCAGCCAUGCCGCGUGUGUGAAGAAGGCCUUCGGGUUGUAAAGCACUUUCAGUAGGGAGGAAGGUAGUGUAGUUAACACCUGCACUAUUUGACGUUACCUACAGAAGAAGCACCGGCUAACUCCGUGCCAGCAGCCGCGGUAAUACGGAGGGUGCGAGCGUUAAUCGGAAUUACUGGGCGUAAAGCGCAUGCAGGCGGCCUGUUAAGUCAGAUGUGAAAGCCCGGGGCUCAACCUCGGAACUGCAUUUGAAACUGGCAGACUAGAGUACUGUAGAGGGGGUAGAAUUUCAGGUGUAGCGGUGAAAUGCGUAGAGAUCUGAAGGAAUACCGGUGGCGAAGGCGGCCCCCUGGACAGAUACUGACACUCAGAUGCGAAAGCGUGGGGAGCAAACAGGAUUAGAUACCCUGGUAG
rnacentral:rRNA from 1 species